CCAGUGAGCUGCUGGAAGGACUCAGUGUCUGGUGUUCACAAGGCCCAGCACAUGGUCUGGGACGUGAGCUCCACACGCCGCCCUGAGGCACCUCCCUCCUUGGUCUCCUCAGUUCAGUGUCUCCGCCGGGAAACCACCGCGAGGGCCUGCAGGAAAACACAGCAGACUAGAAAGUCCAGUUUGAGAUUUCAAAUGUGCUACCGCCUCUGCAGCAGGAGUGAAGCUGGACCUCCAGGCUCUGAGAACACUGAGGACCGUGGGGCUGAGUGACACCAGCCGGCAGGAGAGGCCAUGGCGGGAAGCAGAGGCCCCGGCUGGACUCCAGGGAGCACCAGCGACUGAGGGGCCACAGAGCGGGUGCGGCGGGGGCGAGGGCUGCCUGCCCGCACUCUCAUUACAGCAGAGGCAGUGACAUUUCCCUUGCUGUGCCCAGGGCAGGGAUGGGCCCACGGCAGGUGCUGUGAGCAUGUGCUUGUUGGGUUCCUGAAGCAGAGUCCAGCCAGCCCAGAGGGCCACAUUCUUGUCACUGCCCCGUGGAGCCGCAGCUCAAGCCAAGUCCCGCACACCCCUCUCUGGGCUCUAACUGUGCUGCCUCCGAUGUUCAGGGUACUUUACUUCAAACCAUAUCAAAAGCUGGUUUGAAAAACAAGUCCUAUAGAGGUGC